GGGCAGCGCUCGGGCCCCGCCCCCCGGAGGGCCGAGGCCGCGCGGCCGGCGCUCCCCUCCUCCGCCUCCCGCCGCGACCCCUGCGGGGCGCGGGGUACCAGCCCUGCCCGCUUGCGAGCCCCGAGCAGACGCCGAGCUGGGGAGGAGGGGCCCAGGGCGCUGCUUCGCACCCCUCCCUGUGGGGCUCGGACUCGAGGGUGGUGCGGCUUUAUUGCCGUGGCCUCGGGCAGGUGGCCGCUGCUCCUCUCGGGUUUUUCAAAGACGGGGAAAGUGACGCCGAGUCGCUAAAAGUCACUGAGGAGAGUGCCGAGAGGGAUACAGGUCUCUCUGGACGAGAAGUUUCCUUCUUAGGGUGGGAGUUGGAAUUCCCACGCAUCACCGGGGGUCUCCGGAGAGAAACCUGCUGCCUGGCGCUUCCCGAAGUCCCUUCCAGGCUGCAGCGCCCCGGUCGCUCCCUCGGCCGAGAUGUCGGGAUGGGAACUCCCAAGGUGGAAAUCGCUUGUUUCCACAAUCAGUCCUCUCCUGCCUCCUAAUUAGAGGGCCCUCCCCUGCCGCCCACAGUGACUCAGAAGGCAGCUGCGGAGAACAGGAAGGCCGGAGAUUCAUGUGACAAGCCACUGGCCUUCACCAGGGCAGACAAAGCAGUUUCUGCUAAAGAACCUGGCCCGUACCUGGUGUUCAUUCAUAUAGCCUGGAAUAGCCUAUUUCUUAUGAAUGAAAGAAAUGCUAGGCAACAUUUGCUAAAUCAUUUGUUUAUGAGAGCUGAGUGAGGGAUCAUCUGCACAAAAGGUUUCAUGCCCAAAGGUUUGAAAGUCACUUGUCUACAUGUUAUCUGAGGUUCAUUCUAGGUAUGAAUCUGUCACCACCCUCAAUCUAGUCACUAUCUGCUUGGAUCCAUCUUCUCUGCCAAAGUAACAUCAUUGCCCACUUCUGACUGUAUCAUUUCUCCAACCAGAGAUUUCCAUGUGUCAUUCCCAACCUACCUCCUAAUCUCACCCUGCAGGCCUCUAACAUACCUUCGAGAUCAGCUGCACGGGCUCUAUGUAGGACACUCCCCAAAGACGCUUUUCCUUCUGUCUUUCUGCGUGUUCUCCCCUUGCCCAGAUGCCCUCUCCCUCCCACUCCACCCUUGCACUUGGCAAUCCUCAAAUGCUACUUGCCCUGUGGAAGCAUCUAUAAUUUCACCACCCAGAAGCAGUCUCCUCUAUGCUCCUGUGUACUUUGUUCAUGGGGCUUCUGUGUCUCCAGGUCCCAGCUCCCCUGCUGGAUUAAUGUUCCUUAAGAGCAGGCGUCACAUUUUACAGAUUCUUCUACCCAGCAUGGACACAGCUUAGUACCACAUCCAUAGCAGCUGUUUGAACUCUUUAUUUGGAUUGAAACAGGGCAUGCCUUGGCAGAGCGCAUCCUACCUGCCCAAACCCUUCUGGACCUGCAUGCCAUCUUCUCAAUUCUUCCUCCCCCACUGCCUGGAGAGGGCCACAGUUACAAUGCACAGGUGUUUCCCAUUGUUCUUAGAUGGUAAGAGUACCUGGUUGAUGCUUGGAAGCUGAGAGAACAAGAUCCAGGUAAGUGAGCAGUGAAGGGGACAUGAGAAAGGGACCGGGAGGGGGAGACAAGUCCAGAAGCCUUGGGUGGCAGGCAUACGUAAGGCAUCUGACCCAGGAGGGCAAGGUGUAGGCUGAGGCUGCUGCCGGGGUUUGGAGACACAGUGUCCUGCGGUGGGAAGAAAGCAGCAGACUUUGGAAAGGGACACACCUGUGCUUAAAAUUUACAGCUGUUUAACUUUGGGUGGAUUUCUAACCUUCUGAGCUUCACCUGCAUAUUAAGAAUAAAAGUAUCUGGGGCUGGCCCGGUGGCGCAGCAGCUCAGUGCGCACAUCCUGCUUCGGUGGCCCGGGAUUCACCAGUUCAGAUCCCAGGUGUGGACAUGGCAC